CCAGGCUUUGGGAUAACCCCGGGAAACCGGGGCUAAUACCGAAUAUGACCUCCGAUCGCAUGGUUGGUGGUGGAAAGUUUUUCGGCUUGGGAUGGGCUCGCGGCCUAUCAGCUUGUUGGUGGGGUGAUGGCCUACCAAGGCGACGACGGGUAGCCGGCCUGAGAGGGCGACCGGCCACACUGGGACUGAGACACGGCCCAGACUCCUACGGGAGGCAGCAGUGGGGAAUAUUGCACAAUGGGCGGAAGCCUGAUGCAGCGACGCCGCGUGAGGGAUGACGGCCUUCGGGUUGUAAACCUCUUUCAGCAGGGACGAAGCGUAAGUGACGGUACCUGCAGAAGAAGCGCCGGCCAACUACGUGCCAGCAGCCGCGGUAAGACGUAGGGCGCGAGCGUUGUCCGGAUUUAUUGGGCGUAAAGAGCUCGUAGGCGGCUUGUCGCGUCGACUGUGAAAACCCGCAGCUCAACUGCGGGCCUGCAGUCGAUACGGGCAGGCUAGAGUUCGGUAGGGGAGACUGGAAUUCCUGGUGUAGCGGUGAAAUGCGCAGAUAUCAGGAGGAACACCGGUGGCGAAGGCGGGUCUCUGGGCCGAUACUGACGCUGAGGAGCGAAAGCGUGGGGAGCGAACAGGAUUAGAUACCCUGGUAGUCCACGCUGUAAACGUUGGGCGCUAGGUGUGGGGGGCCUCUCCGGUUCCCUGUGCCGCAGCUAACGCAUUAAGCGCCCCGCCUGGGGAGUACGGCCGCAAGGCUAAAACUCAAAGG
rnacentral:rRNA from 1 species